rnacentral:rRNA from 1 species
CCUACGGGUGGCAGCAGUGAGGAAUAUUGGUCAAUGGACGGAAGUCUGAACCAGCCAUGCCGCGUGCAGGAUGACGGCUCUAUGAGUUGUAAACUGCUUUUGUACGAGAAUAAUAGUUCUUACGUGUAGGGCUUUGAAUGUAUCGUACGAAUAAGGAUCGGCUAACUCCGUGCCAGCCGCCGCGGUAAUACGGAGGAUUCGAGCGUUAUCCGGAUUUAUUGGGUGUAAAGGGUGCGUAGGCGGUUGGAUAUGUUAAGGGUCAAAUGUCGGCGCUUAACCCCGUGGCUGCCUCUGAUACUGGUCGACUAGAGAGCGGAUGCGGCAGGUGGAAUGAGAAGUGUAGGAGUGAAAUGCUUAGAUAU